GAGCACAUGGGCAGCUGAAACUGCAGAUUUUAAACCACUUCUACAUCUGUAGUGGGCCAUGGAUAAAAGACAAAACCUGUUUUCAGCUACCAUGAUUCCCAGAUAUAUGGCCUUGUGAGCUCACUGUAUUCCUGUCAAAGAGCAACAAUUGGAAGCACAUCACUUUCUGAUUGGGAUGGGACAUUAUGCAUAUGUGCAUCUAUGGCAGCCACCCAAGAUUUCUUAUCAUUUAAAAUUAGACUUUGUGACACGUGGGGGUGGGAGGAGAAGAAGAAAAAAUCAUUUACCAAAUCAUAAUUUAUGGAAAGUGAUGGAGCCCGGGGCCUAGGAGUGCGUAGCCUGAGGUCUAAGAAGAUAACCUGAGUGGUCCAAGACGAGUCCAGAACUCGGAGCCCGUCUCUAGGCUCGAAAUGGUGGGCCUUGACUUAGUCUCACAGCCCAUCGCAUGGGCAUGAACUUUGUCUCAUGGCCCACCAUGAAUUUAGUGGAGUUAGUUAGGACUUCAUUGUAUAAAAAGGGCAUUGUAUGUUUACUGCAGGGACACGUUCGAUCCCAUUACAAUCUACUUGUCUUCCCACA